rnacentral:rRNA from 1 species
CCCGCUGAACUUAAGCAUAUCAAUAAGCGGAGGAAAAGAAACCAACAGGGAUUGCCCUAGUAACGGCGAGUGAAGCGGCAACAGCUCAAAUUUGAAAUCUGGCUCUUUCAGAGUCCGAGUUGUAAUUUGCAGAGGGCGCUUUGGCGUUGGCAGCGGUCCAAGUUCUUUGGAACAGGACGUCACAGAGGGUGAGAAUCCCGUACGUGGUCGCUAGCCUUCGCCGUGUAAAGCCCCUUCGACGAGUCGAGUUGUUUGGGAAUGCAGCUCUAAAUGGGAGGUAAAUUUCUUCUAAAGCUAAAUACUGGCCAGAGACCGAUAGCGCACAAGUAGAGUGAUCGAAAGAUGAAAAGCACUUUGGAAAGAGAGUCAAAUAGCACGUGAAAUUGUUGAAAGGGAAGCGCUUGCAGCCAGACUUGCCUGUAGUUGCUUAUCCGGACUUUUGUCCGGUGCACUCUUCUGCGGGCAGGCCAGCAUCAGUUUGGGCGGUUGGAUAAAGGUCUCUGUCAUGUACCUCCUUUCGGGGAGGCCUUAUAGGGGAGACGACAUGCAACCAGCCUGGACUGAGGUCCGCGCAUCUGCUAGGAUGCUGGCGUAAUGGCUGUAAGCGGCCCGUCUUGAAACACGG